rnacentral:rRNA from 1 species
ACGCACGCUGGCGGCGUGCUUAACACAUGCAAGUCGAACGGAAAGGCCCUGCUUUUGUGGGGUGCUCGAGUGGCGAACGGGUGAGUAACACGUGAGUAACCUGCCCUUGACUUUGGGAUAACUUCAGGAAACUGGGGCUAAUACCGGAUAGGAGCUCCUGCUGCAUGGUGGGGGUUGGAAAGUUUCGGCGGUUGGGGAUGGACUCGCGGCUUAUCAGCUUGUUGGUGGGGUAGUGGCUUACCAAGGCUUUGACGGGUAGCCGGCCUGAGAGGGUGACCGGCCACAUUGGGACUGAGAUACGGCCCAGACUCCUACGGGAGGCAGCAGUGGGGAAUAAUGCACAAUGGGCGGAAGCCUGAUGCAGCAACGCCGCGUGCGGGAUGACGGCCUCCGGGUUGUAAACCGCUUUCGCCUGUGACGAAGCGUGAGUGACGGUAAUGGGUAAAGAAGCACCGGCUAACUACGUG